rnacentral:rRNA from 1 species
GACGAACGCUGGCGGCGUGCCUAAUACAUGCAAGUAGAACGCUGAAGGAGGAGCUUGCUUCUCUGGAUGAGUUGCGAACGGGUGAGUAACGCGUAGGUAACCUGCCUGGUAGCGGGGGAUAACUAUUGGAAACGAUAGCUAAUACCGCAUAAGAGUAGAUGUCGCAUGACAUUUGCUUAAAAGGUGCAAUCGCAUCACUACCAGAUGGACCUGCGUUGUAUUAGCUAGUUGGUGAGGUAACGGCUCACCAAGGCAACGAUACAUAGCCGACCUGAGAGGGUGAUCGGCCACACUGGGACUGAGACACGGCCCAGACUCCUACGGGAGGCAGCAGUAGGGAAUCUUCGGCAAUGGACGGAAGUCUGACCGAGCAACGCCGCGUGAGUGAAGAAGGUUUUCGGAUCGUAAAGCUCUGUUGUAAGAGAAGAACGAGUGUGAGAGUGGAAAGUUCACACUGUGACGGUAUCUUACCAGAAAGGGACGGCUAACUACGUG